UCACACUUUUUCAAUAGUAAC
rnacentral:piRNA from 1 species